ensembl:lncRNA
GCAGUCUCCAUUAAAGAGAGUGCAUCUGCUCUGGGCUCACGGGGCAAAAAUGAGAACGGACACUUAAAAGCUCCUUUGGCCUAUUCAUGGGGAUACAGAAAGAACAGGAAGGUUUGAAGAGGUUUUCUGCCUAACCACUAUUCUUGUUGUCAUGUGGCCAUAUCCAGGCUGAUUCCAGCGUGGCACUACCAAGGAUAAGACCGAGGGUUCAAUCCAUCCGUAAACGCACCUUUAUUGCUUGGAGAAAAGCUAUCCCAGACACCACCCACGUCCCCAUUCAGCAGCUGUGUGAUAAGUGUGCACUGGGACAGGGGCGGCACCAGGUGAAAAAAUAGCCAUCUCCCAGUUAAUGCGUCAUCGUGUGGACCAAGGACCGUGCUGAGCAGCAGACGUUCAAAAAGGCCUCCUUCCGUGGCCUCCUCCCACGCCUUGCUCAUCGCCCUGCCCCACACCAGUCCGGCCCCAGACUUGUGAGAAAGGCAGAACAAGAGCCAAGGUGGGCGAGCCCGGGUGCAGGUGGAUCUGGCACCUAAGAUGGCACUGCUGCCUCUACCCCUGCGCUCCAUGAACCAAGCCUCUAAUGGGCUGGGGGGCUGGGGAGGGCUCAGCUCUGGUUUCAGAGUGCAUCAGCUUUUGACUUCCUGGGUCAGCUCCCGCAGGCACUGCCUUAAAAAAGGAAACUGCUCUGACAGAAGAUCCCCCACGUGGUUCUGAUUUGGGCAUCAUUUCCUGUAGUCAUGCCUUGUUUCACAGCCUUCCUUCCCCUUCCCCUCUGUGGUUUUUUGCCUUUCCCUCCCUGACCGGCUUUUCUGGGCCUUCUCAUGGGUUCUAUCAGGGGAGAUCUCUUCUGUGUCCUCUCUUUUCCGACCCUUUACUUCCAGGCCUCAUUGAGAAAUAGCAACUCUCAAAUGCCCCUUGUGAAAUAAACACCUAAACUCCCAGAGUCACAAAAAAUGUGCUAUUGAGGCUUAUCCUUUUUGUCUAGCAACCUUUGUAUCCCUACUAAGUAAAUAUGAGAGUGAAGACUGACUGAGUGCUGACUAUGAGUUGAGUGCUGUCCCAAGCACCUUCUGGGUGUGGUCACAGGUGCUGCAUCUCCCAGAUUUCCUUCUGGGACCAGACCCCCAUUCCCCAGUGUGCUGGCUGCUGUAGUCACAGCA